ACUUUCUGGGGCCACAGGGUUAUUAUCAAGCAUCCAGGAAAUCCUCUGCUGAGCCAGCCCUGAAGGUAGUCCGGACAAUGCGUACCGACUAGGCCCUGGACCCUUCUGCCUUCUCCUCUCUGCUCCCCACCUCAGGCGGAACUUCAUACCAGCAUCAAAGGCCCCCCUGCCCUCUAGCUUCCCACCGGGCUCGGCCAAGGAACCACCAAGAGAUCCAAGAAGGAGAGAUUCGAGGAGGUGGCAGUGGAGGCCCGAGGAGGGCGAGGUAAGGGCAUUUACUCCCCCUCCGGCAGCCCCUGGCCCUGGCUCUCUCCUCCAGCUCCAGCUCUCGGGCUGGAUUCCAGUAACUGCCCUUGCACUUGACCCUUAGCCCAAGAAUGCUGAUGGCUCUGUCUCCCCUUUUGCCAGCACUGCUGCAACCCUCAUCUCUCCUUGGCUGGUUUUCCCUAAUCUUGCUCCAACAGUCUUUCAUACCAGUGGGCUCAGGAGAAGACGGUCUUAAUGCCAGGCUGAGGCCUUGAGACUGUUGGGCAGCGCUGCUUUAGAUCGAACAGCUGCACACAGACAGCCUGGGAGGGAGGGGCGGGCAGGCAGGAUGCGGUGGAGGUGGCUCCCGUGAGAGACACCGAGGGUUGGGGUGCAGGCAGAGGCAUGGAGGGCAGCUCCCUGUUCCUUCUGCUACAGGCUGGUGAGCUGUGGGAGAGUGGAGAGGCCAGGUGAGCAGGAGAGCAAAUGUGUCUGCUAGAGAAGGUCCUCUUUUAAUCAGCUCUUGUACAAAAAGUGAAUGGAGGCAUUGCU
rnacentral:lncRNA from 1 species